CAGUAGGUAUUUGCGCAUUUACAGUUCACAAUUUUUAAGUAAUAAUGUCGAAUAUUGAAUAUAUUUCUACACAACCAAAAGGGGAAUGCCUUAUCUUCAAUAACUAUUAUUUUAAAAUUGAUAAAAAAAUAAAAAAUAAAAAAUAUUGGAAGUGUAUUGAAAACUGUGGAGCUCGUUUAAUAAUUUCAGAUUAAUUCACUGUAAAGUUUUUUAAUCAUAACCACAGCCCUCGUCCAGUUAAAAUUGAAGAAAAACGUUUUAAGGCGAAACUUCGUUUGAGAGCAAAAGAAAACCCUCUUGAACCAAUUUCGAAGUCAGCAAGAUACAGUAACUGAAGUAUACAUGUAUUCAGGCCAAUUAGGAGAUUAUUCCUAUAGAUGUUUGGAAAAACAGCUGAAAAUACUGUUCCUACUAACAUAAUUGUUUAUCCGGUAAGGUAGAAGAGUGCAUAUUAUCUGAAUUACUAUAUUCUGGGAAUUGUUUAAUUUUGACCCAUUAAAGUACCAACUAGAUUCUCUUUAAUAACAGAAACAAUGCUGAAGUAGAAAAGCUGUAAAGCAUGUUUACUGCACCAAAAUGUGAUGACACAAAAAUAAAAUAAAAUAAUUAUAAACACAUUAUUGUAAAAUCAAUACAAUACUAUCAACUGAUACUCCAGCAAAAAAGGGUUUCCAGAUAAACUAGGACAUCAAUGUAUAACAUGGACUACUCAAUUAUGUUAACAGUUCUUACAUAUAUUUUGUCAUUACCAGUUUCAGAUGGAUGAAAUAUAAAUAAUGAUUUGAUAAUUUUUUUAAUUAAUUAUGAUUGCAAGGAA